rnacentral:rRNA from 1 species
AUCCAGACUCCUACGGGAGGCAGCAGUAGGGAAUCUUCCGCAAUGGGCGAAAGCCUGACGGAGCAACGCCGCGUGAGUGAUGAAGGUCUUAGGAUCGUAAAACUCUGUUGUUAGGGAAGAACAAAUUUGUUAGUAACUGAACAAGUCUUGACGGUACCUAACCAGAAAGCCACGGCUAACUACGUGCCAGCAGCCGCGGUAAUACGUAGGUGGCAAGCGUUAUCCGGAAUUAUUGGGCGUAAAGCGCGCGUAGGCGGUUUCUUAAGUCUGAUGUGAAAGCCCACGGCUCAACCGUGGAGGGUCAUUGGAAACUGGGGAACUUGAGUGCAGAAGAGGAGAGUGGAAUUCCAUGUGUAGCGGUGAAAUGCGCAGAGAUAUGGAGGAACACCAGUGGCGAAGGCGGCUCUCUGGUCUGUAACUGACGCUGAUGUGCGAAAGCGUGGGGAUCAAACAGGAUUAGAUACCCCCGUA